rnacentral:lncRNA from 12 species
CCCCCCCCCCCCCCCCCCCCCCCCCCCCCCCCCCCCCCCCCCCGCGGUGGCCGGCUGCGCCCUACCGCCGGCCGGAACCCGAGAGAGGCGAGAGAGAGAGAGAGCCCCCGGCAAUGUGGUGGGCGAGGGUGCGGCGCCUCGCCCAAUCUCGGUCCUUGGCCGGUGCGAUCAGGCCACCGUGCCUGGGCGGCCCGUGGUAUCUGGCCUGCCCCGGCUACCGUGGCCGCCUCCCGGGGCCGCCGGUGGGCUGGGUUGCGAGCGGCUCCGCUUUUUUUCGGACGUGUGCCGAUGUGCGUGGUGGAGUGUGGGGGCCGCCCUCCCGGCCUUUUUCGUUCUUUCUAUUUUUUCCUCACGCGUCCUUAAGCUGCGGCACCUGGAAGUGUGCUGACGAUGAAGGGUCGCGGGCCACGAAAAGCAAAGAAGAAGGGAAAAGAGCGAAGAAGUUGGCGAGAGAGACGAGAUAUGUUGUCGGUGGAUAAAUGGGGGUAUUAGGGGGGAGUGAGAGGCGUGGGCCUCGGGGGGGAGUGAGAGGCGCGGGCCUCGCCCCCACCCCCUGGCCCGUGACCCCCGUGGCUAGCACGGGUCGUGCGACGCGUCGUGUGCUUUUUCUUUUUUUUCGUUCUUUCGGUCCCUCGUUUUUUGUUUUCCGAGGUGUACCGCGGCGCCCCGCUGGGGCCCUGGUCGCCGCCUCGGCGGCCCCUUCCCUUUGUUGUCCCAGAGAGAGAUCGAUCGAUGAGGCUUUCCGGGUCGCGUCGGAAAGGGCCCUCGGCUUGCCGGCUGCUUCCGGGCUCCCGGUUCUUGAGCAGGGCGGUCUCCUUUCCAAUUCACUUCCCGUCGCAGGUGAGGUGUCGCUCCUCCCCGCCGCUGGGAGGGAGGAACGUCUUUACCGUCCCUGGGCUGUGUGACGGCCGCGUAGCCCCACGAGCCCGCAGGUGUCCUUCAAAAACCACGCGAGAUGCCGGUGCUGGCUUUUGGUCCCGAGUAGUGCCCGUUGGGUGCCGACCGCGAGCAGCGCUUGGGCGGCGGUGCGGCUCGAGCUUUUGAGCCGAGAAAAAAAAGGGCCAGCCCGCGAGGUUGCCGACCGCGAGCAGCGCUGGGGCGGCGGUGCGGCUCGAGCUUUUGAGCCGAGAAAAAAAGGGCCAGGCCCGCGAGACCGAGAGAGAGAAAGGGCCGAUGAGAACCGAUGGGGCACAGACGGGGAAAAAGAGCCCGUUCCGCGCGCGCACUGCACUGGCGCUCCUUUUUGUCGCGCCGCUGCCUGCUGCAGAGCGAGCCGUCCCGACCCAAGGGGCCCGCACUUCCGCGCGCGCACCGCACUGGCGCUCCUUUUUGUCGCGCCGCCGCCUUGCUGCAGAGCGAGCCGCCCCGAGCCAAGGGGCCUCGGUGUCCGGGCCCGCGACCUCCUCGUCGGGUCGCUGUCUCCUCUAGCACGUCCGGUGCUUUUGGGCCAGCCUCGGGGGCGGGCCAGUCCCAGCCGAGCCCCGUCCCGCGUGCGCCAGCGCGUGUGACCGGUCGAUGAAAGCGAGACCAAGUCUCGAAGGGUGCGGGCCCUGAGAGAGAAAAGGGGAGAGAAGCCAGAGAGAGAGAGAGAGAGAGAGAGAGAGAGCACUGUGAGAGGAAAGGUUGAGAGAGAGACGAAGGGGACAAAAAGGUUCGCGUUGUCCAAAAAAAAAAAAAAAAAAAAACCCCCCCCCCCCCCCCCCCCCCCCCCCCCCCCCCCCCCCCCCCCCCCCCCCCCCCCCCC